rnacentral:rRNA from 1 species
UACAGAGGGUGCGAGCGUUAAUCGGAAUUACUGGGCGUAAAGCGCGCGCAGGCGGUCUUCCAAGUCAGUGGUGAAAGCCCGGAGCUCAACUCCGGAACUGCCAUUGAAACUGUAAGACUUGAGGAUGAGAGAGGUGAGUGGAAUUCCCAGUGUAGAGGUGAAAUUCGUAGAUAUUCGGAGGAACACCAGUGGCGAAGGCGGCUCACUGGUCCAUUACUGACGCUGAGGUGCGAAAGCGUGGGGAGCAAACAGG